rnacentral:lncRNA from 1 species
AUGAUGGCCUAUGCCAUCACAAUGAGAAGGAUGAUCCCUACGCCACCAAAGAAAUGCUCUGCAAAGGCCUUGGCCAUGCAACCUUCAAAGGAUAUGGUAGUGCUCUCAGAGAGGGUGUCCGCAGUCAUCUUGGGGACAAUGGCAGAAGAGAAAGUGGCAUCUGUGAUAGACAAGGAAGUAAGGAAAAAAAUACAUAGGCAAAUCAAAAAUAAAGAAGUUUGCUAUGAUUUAGCUGAGAUCAAGGUUCCAUGAAAAAGCCAAUUUCAUCCAAGUAACAUAUGUAUGAAAAAAUUAGUAAAGUAGCCGUGGGACUCUGGAGAAAAAUACACUCUAAAAUCAUCAAACUGGGAAUUUAUAGUUGUCCUUUCCAUUGCAUAUCCUGAAUCUAUGCACAUGUAUAUUGAAGACUUGGUAAAGUACAUUAAAAACUAUCAAAAGCACAUAUCAAAG